rnacentral:rRNA from 1 species
UCGGGAAUCUUGGGCAAUGGGCGAAAGCCUGACCCAGCGACGCCGCGUGGAGGACGAAGCCCUUCGGGGUGUAAACUCCUUUUGGCAGGGACGAACACAGACGGUACCUGCCGAAUAAGCCCCGGCUAACUACGUGCCAGCAGCCGCGGUAAUACGUAGGGGGCGAGCGUUGCCCGGAUUUACUGGGCGUAAAGCGCACGUAGGCGGCACCGCAAGUCUGGUGUGAAAUCUCACGGC